rnacentral:rRNA from 1 species
GACGAACGCUGGCGGUGUGCUUCACACAUGCAAGUCGAACGAGGUAGCAAUACCUAGUGGCGGACGGGUGAGUAACGCGUGGGAAUCUGCCUUUAGAUGGGGGAUAACGGGUCGAAAGACUUGCUAAUACCGCAUAUGACGAAAGUUGAAAGGAGUAAUCCGUCUAAAGAUGAGCCCGCGUCCGAUUAGCUAGUUGGUAGAGUAAAAGCCUACCAAGGCGACGAUCGGUAGCUGGUCUGAGAGGAUGAUCAGCCACAAUGGGAACUAGAGACACGGCCCAUAC